UACGGGGGGAGCAAGCGUUGUUCGGAUUUACUGGGCGUAAAGGGCGCGUAGGCGGCCACUGCAAGCCGGUUGUGAAAUCUCCGGGCUUAACCCGGAAAGGUCAAUCGAUACUGCAGGGCUAGAGUGCAGAAGGGGCAACUGGAAUUCUCGGUGUAGCGGUGAAAUGCGUAGAUAUCGAGAGGAACACCUGCGGCGAAGGCGGGUUGCUGGGCUGACACUGACGCUGAAGCGCGAAAGCUAGGGGAGCGAACGGG
rnacentral:rRNA from 1 species